rnacentral:rRNA from 1 species
GGGCUGGACCUCUCGGGGUUACAGCCUUGCUGAAUUAUUCACCCUUGUCUUUUGCGUACUUCUUGUUUCCUUGGUGGGUUCGCCCACCACUAGGACAAACAUAAACCUUUUGUAAUUGCAAUCAGCGUCAGUAACAAAUUAAUAAUUACAACUUUCAACAACGGAUCUCUUGGUUCUGGCAUCGAUGAAGAACGCAGCGAAAUGCGAUAAGUAGUGUGAAUUGCAGAAUUCAGUGAAUCAUCGAAUCUUUGAACGCACAUUGCGCCCUUUGGUAUUCCAAAGGGCAUGCCUGUUCGAGCGUCAUUUGUACCCUCAAGCUUUGCUUGGUGUUGGGCGUCUUGUCUCUAGCUUUGCUGGAGACUCGCCUUAAAGUAAUUGGCAGCCGGCCUACUGGUUUCGGAGCGCAGCACAAGUCGCACUCUCUAUCAGCAAAGGUCUAGCAUCCAUUAAGCCUUUUUUUCAACUUUUGACCUCGGAUCAGGUAGGGAUACCCGCUGAACUUAAGCAUAUCAUAGGCCGGAAGGAAAAAAUCAUUACACAAAUUAUGAAGGCCGGCUGGAACCUCUGGGGUUACAGCCCUGCUGAAUUAUUCACCCUUGUCUUUUGCGUACUUCUCGUUUCCUGGGUGGGUUCGCCCACCACUAGGACAACAAAAACCUUUUGUAAUUGCAAUCAGCGUCAGUAACAAAAUAAUAAUUACACUUCACAACGGAUCUUGGGUUCUGCAUCGAUAAAAAGCAGCGAUGCGAUAGUAGUGUGAAUUGCAGAAUCAAUGAAUCAUCGAAUCUUUGAACGCACAUGCGUCUUUGGUAUUC